GAUGAAGAACGUAGCGAAAUGCGAUAAGUAAUGUGAAUUGCAGAAUUCAGUGAAUCAUCGAAUCUUUGAACGCACAUUGCGCCCGCCAGUAUUCUGGCGGGCAUGCCUGUUCGAGCGUCAUUUCAACUAUCAAGCCCCCGGCUUGUGUUGGGGACCUGCGGCUGCCGCAGGCCCUGAAAAGCAGUGGCGGGCUCGCUGUCACACCGAGCGUAGUAGCAUACAUCUCGCUCUGGGCGUGCUGCGGGUUCCGGCCGUUAAACCACCUUCAUAAUCCAAGGUUGACCUCGGAUCAGGUAGGAAGACCCGCUGAACUUAAGCAUAUCAAUAAGCGGAGGA
rnacentral:misc_RNA from 1 species